rnacentral:rRNA from 1 species
AUUGAACGCUGGCGGCAUGCCUUACACAUGCAAGUCGAACGGUAACGGGCCUUCGGGCGCCGACGAGUGGCGAACGGGUGAGUAAUGCAUCGGAACGUACCUUUCAGUGGGGGAUAACGUAGCGAAAGUUACGCUAAUACCGCAUAUUCUGUGAGCAGGAAAGCAGGGGAUCGCAAGACCUUGCGCUGAUUGAGCGGCCGAUGUCAGAUUAGCUAGUUGGUGAGGUAAAGGCUCACCAAGGCGACGAUCUGUAGCGGGUCUGAGAGGAUGAUCCGCCACACGGGAACUGUGACACGGGCCAGACUCCUACGGGAGGCAGCAGUGGGGAAUUUUGGACAAUGGGGGCAACCCUGAUCCAGCCAUGCCGCGUGAGUGAAGAAGGCCUUCGGGUUGUAAAGCUCUUUCGGCCGGGAAGAAAUCGUAUGGGCUAAUACCCUGUGCGGAUGACGGUACCGGCAUAAGAAGCACCGGCUAACUACGUGCCAGCCGCCGCCGUAACAC